UCGCGUUGAAACACCGUUUUCCAUACGAUCACCGAAGUUAAGGAAUGUCGAGCUUGGUCAGUGCCUAGAUGGGUGACCGCUUGAGAAUAUCAGGUUCUGUAAG